UGUAUAUUGUAUGUGUGUGUGUUGAGGUGUAUGUGUAUAUUGUAUGUGUGUGUAUAUUGUGUGUGUGUGUUUAGGUGUGUGUGUGUAUUGUAUGUGUGUGUGUUUAGGUUGUGUGUAUUGCAUGUAUGUGUGUAUAUUGUAUGUGUGUGUUUAGGUGUGUGUGUAUCGCAUGUGUGUUUUAGGUACGUGUGUGUGUAUUGUAUGUGUGUGUGUUUAGGUAUGUGUGUGUGUAUUGAAUGUGUGUGUGUUGUAUGUGUGUGUAUUGCAUGUGUGUGUGUUUAGGUGUGUGUGUAUUGUAUGUGUGUGUGUUUAGGUGUGUGUGUAUUGCAUGUGUGUGUGUGUAUUGUAUGCGUGUGUGUUUAGGUACGUGUGUGUGUAUUGAAUGUGUAUGUUGUAUGUGUGUGUAUUGCAUGUGUGUGUGUUUAGGUGUGUGUGUGUUGUAUGUGUGUGUGUGGAUUUGUGCCUAUGUACGUGUAUGUGAGUAUGUGCCUAUGUAUGUUGCGCAGGUUCAUGUGUAUGGGUGUUGGGGGGGGUCUCGGGGGUGGGCGCUCAGGGCGAUGAAUGUGUUCCUAAGAGGUGAGUCCAGGACCUUUAACUUUCGCUUCUCCCAGGGGUGGGUGCAUGAGAUGGGAAGAGAGUUUCCCUUCUCAGGCCCCCAGAGCUCUUCUUUGCCUCCCUCUUCUCUAUCCCCA
rnacentral:lncRNA from 1 species